GUGUCAGCAGCCGCGGUAAUACGUAGGGGGCGAGCGUUGUCCGGAAUCAUUGGGCGUAAAGCGCGUGUAGGCGGCUUGGCAAGUCCGGUGUGAAAGCUCGAGGCUCAACCUCGAGUCUGCAUCGGAAACUGCUUUGCUAGAGUCCGGAAGAGGAGACUGGAAUUCCUGGUGUAGCGGUGAAAUGCGCAGAUAUCAGGAAGAACACCGGUGGCGAAGGCGGGUCUCUGGGACGGUACUGACGCUGAGACGCGAAAGCGUGGGGAGCAAACAGGAUUAGAUACCCUGGUAGUCCACGCCGUAAACGAUGGGCACUAGGUGUGGGAGGUGUCGACUCCUUCCGUGCCGAAGCUAACGCAUUAAGUGCCCCGCCUGGGGAGUACGGCCGCAAGGCUAAA
rnacentral:rRNA from 1 species